rnacentral:rRNA from 1 species
CCUACGGGAGGCAGCAGUGGGGAAUCUUCCGCAAUGGGCGAAAGCCUGACGGAGCAACGCCGCGUGAUCGAAUGAAGGCCUUCGGGUUGUAAAGAUCUGUUGACAUGGCCGAAUAAGCAAUGCCAAUAGUUUUGUGUAUGACGGUACCUGUUUAGAAAGCUCCGGCUAACUACGUGCCAGCAGCCGCGGUAAUACGUAGGGAGCAAGCGUUGUCCGGAAUUACUGGGCGUAAAGGGCGCGUAGGUGGGCGAUUAAGUCAGGUGUGAAAACUCCGGGCUCAACCUUGGGACUGUAAUUGAAACUGUGUGUCUAGAGGGACGGAGAGGAAAGUGGAAUACCUAGUGUAGAGGUGAAAUGCGUAGAUAUUAGGAGGAACACCAGUGGCGAAGGCGACUUUCUGGACUGUACAUGACGCUGAGGCGCGAAAGCGUGGGUAGCGAACGGGAUUAGAUACCCGGGUAGUC